AUUGAACGCUGGCGGCAUGCUUUACACAUGCAAGUCGAACGGCAGCGCGGGCUUCGGCCUGGGGGCGAGUGGCGAACGGGUGAGUAAUACAUCGGAACGUGCCCAGUAGUGGGGGAUAGCUCGGCGAAAGCCGGAUUAAUACCGCAUACGACCUGAGGGGGAAAGCGGGGGAUCUUCGGACCUCGCGCUAUUGGAGCGGCCGAUGGCCGAUUAGCUAGUUGGUGGGGUAAAGGCCUACCAAGGCGACGAUCUGUAGCUGGUCUGAGAGGACGACCAGCCACACUGGGACUGAGACACGGCCCAGACUCCUACGGGAGGCAGCAGUGGGGAAUUUUGGACAAUGGGCGAAAGCCUGAUCCAGCAAUGCCGCGUGUGUGAUGAAGGCCUUCGGGUUGUAAAGCACUUUUGGCGGGAACGAAAAGGACUGUGCCAAUACCACGGUUCGAUGACGGUACCUGCAGAAUAAGCACCGGCUAACUACGUG
rnacentral:rRNA from 1 species